GACGUAGGGGGCCAGCGUUGUUCGGAAUUACUGGGUGUAAAGGGUUCGUAGGCGGUGCGGCAAGUUGGGAGUGAAAUCUCUGGGCUUAACCCAGAGGCUGCUUCCAAAACUGCUGUGCUUGAGUGUGGGAGAGGCGCGUGGAAUUGCAGGUGUAGCGGUGAAAUGCGUAGAUAUCUGCAGGAACACCCGUGGCGAAAGCGGCUCUCUGGGACGGUACUGACGCUGAGACGCGAAAGCGUGGGGAGCGAACAGG
rnacentral:rRNA from 1 species